UCUCCGUUGGUGAACCAGCGGAGGGAUCAUUACAGAGUUGCAAAACUCCCAAACCAUUGUGAACGUUACCUAUCCCGUUGCUUCGGCGGGCGGCCCGGGCCCCGCGCCCGGCGCCCCCCGGCCCCCCGUGGGCGCCCGCCGGAGGUAAAACAAACCCUUGAAUUGCAUGGCCUCUCUGAGUCUUCUGUACUGAAUAAGUCAAAACUUUCAACAACGGAUCUCUUGGUUCUG
rnacentral:misc_RNA from 1 species